GCCCGAGUGGUGGAAUGGCAGACACGGUGGACUCAAAAUCCAUUGCUCGCAAGGGCGUGCGGGUUCGAAUCCCGCCUCGGGCA
rnacentral:tRNA from 1 species